AUGCUGCUGUCACCUCUGAUGAUUCCCAGGUGUUUACCUCCAGCCCCAACCUAUAUUUGAAGGAGCUGAUUUAAAUAUUCAACUGCCAGGUGUCAUCUACUCUGGGUGUUUACCUGUCAAUAAUAACAAGCCUGCGCUGGAUCCCAGAGAACCAGGCCAUCAUUAUUAAUUUCACACUGCAAAUAGAGGUUUUGGACUACGCAAGUGGAAUCAAAUCUUGGUGACUGACGAAGGAGCAGAGGAAUAUUGCUGUCAAGAAGAGAGAGAGAGUGAGCACAAGCAGGGAGAGGGGGAAGCAGACU